rnacentral:rRNA from 1 species
UUGAAGAGAGAGUUCAAAAGGGCGUGAAACCGCUUAGAAUAAAACGGACGGAGCCGUCCGGAACCCUCGGGAAUCAGUCGGACGAUACGCGAACGUGCCUCGGUAUACCGUAGCGAAAGUGCGGCCGGGGUAUAUCAGUAGCGUUGGCGCGACGCAUUUCUCGAGGGUAAGCACCGCGACCGAUACGAAAGGCCAGCGAAGUGGUUCGAUUGAGGUCGAGGCCCGUCAGGGUUUCGCUACCAGUCUUACCGCGCAAGUCGCUGGACCGCAGUAUGUAUCGAGCGCCUAAGAUAUAUAUACGUCGGCGUAAACGCUCGCCGGAGCGACGGAUAGUCGGUUAAUUAGUCGGCGCCUGCUUGCAGGUACCGGCGAGUUUGGCCGAUUUAGAAGUCGCCGGUGACAUUACGACGUAUUGGCGUCAGCGGUGUCAGUGUCGGCCACCCAUCCGACCCGUCUUGAAACACGGACCAAGGAGUCUAACAUAUGCGCGAGCUAAUGGGUGGAAAAACCCAAAGGCGCAAUAAAAGUAAACGCUGUUUCGGACAGCUAAGGUACGAUCCCGGUAGUCUAGGCUGCCGGGCGCAGUACCGUCCCGUCCCGACCGCACGUCGGUAGGGCGGAGAUAGAGUGCAUACGUUGGGACCCGAAAGAUGGUGAACUAUGCCUGAGCAGAGCGAAGCCAGAGGAAACUCUGGUGGAGGUUCGUAGCGGUUCUGACGUGCAAAUCGAUCGUCAGACUUGGGUAU